rnacentral:rRNA from 1 species
GAUGAACGCUAGCUACAGGCUUAACACAUGCAAGUCGAGGGGCAGCACUAGGUAGCAAUACUGAGGUGGCGACCGGCGCACGGGUGCGUAACGCGUAUCCAACCUUCCCGAUACUCUUGGAUAGCCUUCCGAAAGGGAGAUUAAUACAAGAUGGUGUUUCAAUUCCGCAUGUUAUUGAAACUAAAGAUUUAUCGGUAUCGGAUGGGGAUGCGUGACAUUAGAUAGUAGGCGGGGUAACGGCCCACCUAGUCUACGAUGUCUAGGGGUUCUGAGAGGAAGGUCCCCCACACUGGAACUGAGACACGGUCCAGACUCCUACGGGAGGCAGCAGUGAGGAAUAUUGGUCAAUGGUCGGAAGACUGAACCAGCCAAGUAGCGUGAAGGAUGAAGGUUCUAUGGAUUGUAAACUUCUUUUAUACGGGAAUAAAACCUCCCACGUGUGGGAGCUUGUAUGUACCGUAUGAAUAAGCAUCGGCUAACUCCGCG